rnacentral:lncRNA from 1 species
AUAAUUAUCAUUCAACACUAAAGAUUCAUUGCAAGCCUAAAAAGUAAUUUUGUUCAUAAUUAAUGAAUUAAAAACUGAAUAAAGUAAAGAAAUCAUCAUCUCAAUUACAACAACUGAAUUUAAAAAGAAGAAUAGUAAUACACCACCCUUCUUGGCCUUCAAUUUUGCAAUCUUCGUGAAAUCACCUUCCUUCCUUUGCUCAUCCAAUAAUCUUCUCUCAAUUAUGGCUCUCCAAAAGUGUAGUUGAAAUUCCUUUCCCCUCUCCCCUCAGCCCUCUACUAAUUGACAUAAGUUAAUUUCCCCCCAACUGAACCAAAUCCAAUCCCAAUCCAUAUCAAAGUCAUCCCAUCCAAUCGAAUUGGGAAUUCUAAUAAAAAUCAAACUCCUAUUUGUACCCAACACAGCAAGUUUUUAACUCCAAAAAUCCCAAUUACUAUGAAAUAACUUCCUUGUCACUCCUAACUUGACCCUAUUACAUAAAGAAGUCGUAUAUCAAAAUAAAACUCAAUUUCAUGCAUAAAUAACCAAAUUAGCAACUGCCCCGUCCGACCGGCACGCCCCGCACCGGGUCCUUCAUUAAUGCAGCGCGGCCCGCGCUGGGUCAUCAGUAUGUAAUCUUCAUGUAGCGCGCCCCGCGCCAUCUUCUAUAGUCACGGCGCGCCCUGCACCGGUGAUGCAGAAUGUCCAAAAUGCUUGAGAAUUCUUCCAAUGCCAAAUCUUUGACGUCUUCACCUCAUUAACCUGUAACAAGAGCAAAAACCCAUUAAAAGUAACAUGAAAUACUCAAAAACUAGCAACAUACCAAGAUAAAUAAGAUUAAAUCGUAGGCUAAAAACCUACACAUCAAAUUCCCCCAAACUUGAAACAUUGCUUAUCCUCAAGCAAAAUGAUAUGCCAUGCAACUAUAACUACUAUAUACCUAAGAAUCCAGCAUUAAGACAAAACAUAGUCUAAUUAUACAGCCUCAGAGAAAUCGAGCAAACACGAUAGUAUAUCAUAUCUAGACCAAUCAAUAACUUUCCAAUCAAUCAUCAAAUCUUAAACUGUUAUUACUAAUAUAGUGCGUGUGAGCUCAACAACCAUACUAACUGAUAUAAUGCUAAAUACAACACAUAAUAGGUUUCUUUAAAGGCAUCAUACAGUGUAAACUCAUGAAAUCCAAGAACAAGCUAGAUCCAACUAAAAUCAAAAAUUUAACAAGUUCAAGAGUCCAAACGGGAUACUUAUGCUUUAUAUAUAUAUAUAUAUAUAUAUAUAUAUAUAUAUAUAUAUUUUCCACUUACGGGGGUUUUUUGCUUUUUUUUUCCCGUUUUAUUUUUUAUUUAUUUAUAAUAUUUCCCAUGGUUGUGCAAUGUCUAAUUCCCUUAGGCUUUUCAAUGCUACCUUAACGAGCUUUCGACCAACGACUCCCAAACCAAUUAAGGCCUUAGGGUGCUAGGUGUAAAGACACUCCCUUGGGCUUACUUACUCAAGUAAUAAAGGCCACGAAACUAGACUAACCAUGGUGUUUGUUCAUAUUUUUUUAUAUAUAUAGCUUAUAUACCCCAAAAUUUUCUCCAAACUUAGGUUCUUGCCUAACUUUAGCCAUCACUGCCUAUUCUCAUCAUUCUUUCAUUCAAACUAGUAUUAUCCUUAAGAAUUUCAUUAUGUGUCAAUUUAAACUUAAUAAGUCAACAAGGUUGUUCUAAAGUGCUAACCUUAUUAUAUCAGUUUCAAACAGAAAAAGAUUCAAUUCAUAACAGGAGAUCACAUCACAACCUAAAUAAUCAACGCAAUACUUGUCUACACAAUUCCAAUCUCAUCAUUGGCCAAAAUAGACUCUUGCUAUCUAAUAGUUGAAUUCAUGCAAGAUGAACUAAAUGCAAAUGCAAAAUAGAUUUUUUUUUAUGCAUGAAUGAAUAAAUCUAAACGCCAUUAUCAACAAAACAAUUAUAUUAAUUUAUCAAAAACUAAAUAACAUAACAAAAACUAACUAACAUGAAUAUGUAAUCGCCAACAUAAUUAAUUAAUCAAGCAAAAGCAAACCACCCCCCCCCCCCAAAAAANNNNNNNNNNNNNNNNNNNNNNNNNNNNNNNNNNNNNNNNNNNNNNNNNNNNNNNNNNNNNNNNNNNNNNNNNNNNNNNNNNNNNNNNNNNNNNNNNNNNGAAACUAGACUAGCCACGGUGUUUAUUCAUAUUUCUUUUCUUUUCUUUUCUUUUUCUUUUUCUUUUUCUUUUUUUUUCUUAAAGCUUAUAUAUCCCAAAUUUUCCCCCAAACUUAGGUUCUUGUCUAAUUUUAGCCAUCUCUGCCUAUUUAUGUCUUUCUUUCAUUCAAACUAGCAUUAUCCUUAAGAAUUCAAUUAUGUGUCAAUUUAAACUUAAUCAGUCAACAAGAUUGUUUCUAAAGUGCUAUCCUGAUUAUACCAGUUUCAAACAGAAAAAGAUUCAAUUCAUAACAGGAAAUCACAUCAAAGCCUUAAUAAUCAAUAUUAUACUUGUCUAAACAAUUCCAAUCUCAUCAUUGGCCAAAAUAUACUAUUACUAUCUAAUAGAUGGAUUCAUGCAAGAUGAACUAAAUGCAAAUGCAAUAUAAACAUGUAAGUAAAAAAAAUAUUUUUUUAUAUGCAUGAAUGAAUCAAUCUAAAUGCCAUCAUUAAUAAAAACAAUUAUAUUAAUUUAUAAAAAACUAACAUGAAUAUAUAAUCACCAACGGAAUUAAUUAAUCAAGCAAAAGCAAACCCCACCCCCCCAAAACUUAACAUAAGUAAUGUCUCCAUUACACCAAUAUAAAGAAAAUAAAAGCGCGAGGACUUCCCUGAAAGACGAGUCACUGCUCGUCGUCAUCCGAAGGAGGGUAUGCUGGGAGAACAGGAGGAACAUGCAUGGACACCAGACCAACACUUGGAUUGCAACGAGAAAAUGCUUCAGCAAGAGUGUUGAAAGCGUUGACAUUGUAUUGAAGCAUCAAAUCCUGAUGUUGAGCCAGCCAUAAAAAUUCAUUCUUUGUACCUCGUGAAGAGGUAGCAUGCUCAGACUGUGCUUUCCUUGGAUCAGUCGCGACCAGGGGUGAGGCUGGUCAAAUCAUGAUAUAACCUUCUCCUCUUGGAUGCGAUCUCGCCCCAUCCCAUGCCUUGCACUUUUAAAUGGUAGCAUGAUCGAUUAUGGCCAUUGGUUGAUGAAUCGGUUCAGAGGAAUGCCAUUGCACUCCCGCUUUUCAGCAUAAAUCGGUGAUGAGAAAUCCAUUAAGAAGGCCCCUCGUGGUACUUCCCCGUAGCAACUUGUCGAUCAAUUCUUGAAUGCAUUCACCCACAUCCACAUUGUAGAACAUAACUGAAUUAUUCACUCGAUAAUGGUGGUGUACAAUCCCAUAUAGCAGCCGCACACUUUCCUUAGUCACAUCAUUCUGAUGGCGUGUGGGCAUCAAUCGGGCACAAAUGAAGGCGUACCAUGCUUUGCCAUAACGACUUAAAGCUGAGUGGGGAAAGCUUAUCUUUUCAUUCGUUCCGGCUCGGGUAACCCAUUGUGUUCCUGGUUUGCACAAUCUUGCAAUCAGUUCAUCCAGAUCAGGCAAGCCGUCUUCACAGCGUGCAUCUGUCGGUGUUUCCAGCCUAAAGUACUCGUUGAUGGCAUUGGCAUGGAACGACACCGGUUUACCCCGUACCAUGACUGUGUGAUCAACAUGCUCCAUUGCGUUGGCAUAAAACUCUUUUACGAUGUUGAUCACCGCGGGUAGUGGUUGCUCCACUAGUUGAAACCAGUUGCGCUCCACAAUCAUUAAUGCCAUUUCUCCGUCAAGAUUGGCAUCCGUCUUCAAUCCCCGUUCUAAUACCAAAGUCUUCUUGUCAAUGGUCGAUUUGAACCUCGCCUCGGCACCCUAAAUUUUGUGCUAUCAAAUUGAGCCCAAGCAGUUGAAGUGGAUGGACGCGGUCUCUUAUGCGAAGACAUGGUGUUUUUAGUGUAAUAGAGGGUGAAAACUUGGUUCAGGCAAAUCGUCGAACAGUUGGCGGGCGUGAAGGCUAACACCCCCAAACUUGACUUCUUAGACAAACUCUAGGCCAAAAUACGAAAUACUCCAAUACACUCCUUGGGCAACAGUAUCCCAAGGAUUUCCAACCAAUGUUGUGAACAAGAAAGAAUCAGAACUAGGUUGCAAUAAUUUUGAAUUACCUUAAAGAAGAAAAUCCGUCUCCACCUUAUAGUGAUGCCCAAUUUGUGAGAAGUUGUGAGGAGGAAGAAUUGGACUUGGAAUGUAAGUGUGGUGCUUAUCUCUUAGAAUGGUUAUGGCUAAUUGAGAGAAGUAGAGUUGAUAUAGAAGAGGAAUUGCGGAUGAACGUGUAUGAGGAGUUAUGGUGGUUGUGGGUUAGUGGGAUGAAGAGAUGGGAAGAAGUAGAAGAGGUGUAGUUUAAUUUGAAUGUUAUGGAAGUUAUGGGAGAGUGGAAGAGUUUGAGUUGGGCAAGAAGUUGGGAAGGAUUGGUGUUAUGUGGAGUUAUAUUGGAAAAGGAGACGACAAACACGCUUUUAAAAUCUGACGUUACCGAACGGCGCGCCCCGCGCUGGGUGAAAGCUUAAGGUGGCACGGCCCGCGCUGGUUAUGCAGUGUCUACGCCCAGGAUGACGUGCCUUGCGCCAUAUAGUAGUGUACUCUGGCGCGCCCCGCGCUGGGUAGACAGAAAAAGUGUGAACAUGUUGGCGCGCCUCGCGCUGAUAAUGUAACAUGGCGCGCCCCGCGCUAUAGAGGCAGUGUUUGAGUGAUGUCUUUUUUCCUUGAUUCCCUGAAAUUAUACCACAAUGAAUUCAUUACUAUUAUAAUUAUUGAAAAAAAUAACUAUCUAAACUAUACUAUGAACUAAAAUUUACUGAAUAAAUGAAAUAGAAAAGGUUUAGAGCUUGGGUUGCCUCCCAAGUAGCGUUAGUUUUAACGUCGUCAGCCCGACGGUGAUCGGCAAGUGUAAUUGCAAUGGCUUCGUUGUCGAUGUCGCCACCCUAGUAAUGCUUUAACCUUAGCCCGUUGACUUUGAAUGUUUCAAGCAGAUUUCUGCUGUAUAGCUCAAUAGCGCCACGUGGGAAAACAAUCUUAAUCGUAAAUGGACCCGACCAUCGGGAUUUGAGCUUUUCGGGAAACAAUCUCAAUCGUGAAUUGAACAAUAAUACCGAUUGUCCCGGUUCAAACUUUCUCUGCAAAAUUUUUUGGUCGUGCCACUUGACUUUUUCUUUGUACAGCUUUGAGUUCUCAUACGCUUGCAGUCUAAAUUCAUCGAGUUCGUUCAAUUGGAGUAACCUCUUCUCUCCUGCAGCUGUUUGAUCAAAGUUGAGUUUCUGAAUGUCCCAAUAUGUCUUAUGCUGUAAUUCCACUGGGAGGUGACACGCUUUCCCGUCGACUAAUUGAUACGGAGACAUCCCAAUUGGCGUCUUGUAUGCUGUCCUGUAAGCCCAUAGUGCGUCAUCCAACUUUAGAGACCAAUCUUUUCUGCUCGGAUUUAUUACCUUCUCUAAAAUUUUCUUCACCUCUCUGUUUGAAACCUCAUUUUGACCACUCGUCUGGGGGUGAUAUGUUGUUGCAACCCUAUGAUUGACCCCGUACUUCGCCAAGAGAGCUGUAAAUGACUUAUUGCAGAAGUGACUUCCCUCGUCACUUAUGAUUGCUCUUGGCGUGCCAAAUCUCGUAAAUAUAUUCUUCUGUAGAAACUUAAGAACUACCUUGGCAUCGUUUGUAGGGAGUGCUACAGCUUCAACCCACUUGGACACGUAGUCCACAGCUAGCUAGAUGUACAGGUUGUUGAAUGAAGGAGGAAAAGGUCCCAUGAAGUCCAUCCCCCAUACAUCAAAAACCUCUACUUCCAUGAUGGUAUUGAGCGACAUCUCAUUCCUCUUUGAGAUAUUACCCACCCUUUGGCAUCUGUCAUAGUUUUUCACGAACUAGUGGGCAUCCUUAAACAUCGUAAGCCAAUAGAAUCCUGCUUGAAGUACCUUGGCUGCUGUCCGUUCACUACCAUAAUGUCCCAUAUGCAGAUGAAUGGCAUUCAUGCAAGAUAUUCUUUACUUCGCUGUAUGGCACACAUCUACGAAUCAUUUUGUCUGCACACUGUUUGAAUAAAUAGGGCUCGUCCCACAUGUACCACAUGACGUCAUGUAGGAACUUCUGUUGUCGUGUCAGAUCAUGGGGAAGGAUUUUGCUCACCAAGUAAUUGGCAAAAUCCGCAUACCAUGGAAACUCGGAGUUUACUCCAAAAAGCUGCUCAUCCGGAAACGAUUCAUUGAUUACACAUUUAUCUGCCCCAUCCUUAUCCGGAUUGUCCAGUCUUGAAAGAUGAUCCGCCACUUAAUUUUCUGUCCCCUUCCUAUACUUUAUUUUCAAGUUGAAUUCCUGAAGGAGAAGAAUCCAUCUGAUUAAUCUAGGCUUAGCAUCCUUCUUUGAGAUCAAAUAACGAAUCGCCGAGUGAUCCGUGUAUACCACCACCUUUGUUCCAAUCAAAUAUGCUCUGAAUUUGUCAAAGGCGUAUAUUACUCCAAGUAACUCCUCGGUGGUUGUGUAGUUUAAUUGGACAUCUGUGAGGGUUUUACUUGCGUAGUAUAUAACAUGGAAUAUCUUCUCUCGGCGUUGACCCAAAACAGCCCCUACCGCGUAGUCGCUAGCAACGCACAUUAACUCAAAAGGCCUCGUCCAAUCCGGUGCUACGAUCACUGGAGCUGUAGUCAACUUCUUUUUCAACUGUUCAAACGCUGCUUUGCACUCUUCAUCAAAACUGAAUAUUGCAUCUUUCUCUAAGAGAUUGCAUAAUGGUUUUGCAAUCUUAGAGAAGUCCUUUAUAAACCUGCGGUAGAAUCCGGCGUGUCCAAGAAAACUGCGGAUUCCUUUGACUGAAUUCGGCGGUGUAAGAUUCUCUAUUGUGUCCAACUUUGCCUUAUCAACCUCUAAGCCUUUCACAGAGACCUUGUGCCCCAGAAUUAUUCCUUCUUCAACCAUGACGUGGCACUUCUCCCAGUUAAGCACCAAGUUAGUUUCCACACAUCGCUUCAAAACCAUGACCAGAUUCUCUAGACACUUAUCAAAAGUGUUUCCAUAGACUGAGAAGUCGUCUAUGAAAACUUCCACAUUCUUCUCCACCAUGUUUGAGAAAAUAGCCAUCAUACAUCUUUGGAAAGUCACCGGUGCGUUACAUAACCCAAAGGACAUCCUUCUAAAUACAAAGGUGUCGUAUGGGCAUGUAAAAAUGGUCUUCUCUUGAUCCUUGGGAGCUAUGACUAUUUCGUUGUACCCCGAAUAUCCAUCCAGUAGACAGUAGUAUUCAUGCCCAGCUAACCGGUUUAACAUCUGGUCAAUGAAGAGUAGAGGAAAGUGAUCCUUCCGGGUUGCCUUAUUCAGCUUUCUGUAGUCCAUGCAAACCUUUCAUUCGGUCACUGUCUUCGUCGGAAUCAGUUCAUUGUCAUCAUUCUUAACCACUGUCAUCCCACCCUUUUUCGGAACGCAUUGAACUGGGUUGACCCAUGCACUGUCUGAAAUAGGGUAAAUAAUUUUAGCAUCCAACCACUUCAAAAUUUCUUACUUUACCACUUAUUUCAUGAUCGGAUUUAGUCGUCUCUGUUGUUCCACUGUUGGCUUUGCAUCAUCUUCCAUGAGAAUCUUGUGCAUGCAAAAGGAAGGGUUGAUCCCCUUAAUGUCGGCAAUUGUCCAUCCUAUCGCAGACUUGUAUUCUCUCAAAAUCCUCAGCAAUUUAUUUUCCUGCAAUUCGUUAAGCGCAGAUGCAAUAAUAACAGGUAAAGUAUUUGAAUCACUCAAAUAAGCAUACCUGAGGUGUUUAGGAAGCGGUUUAAGCUCAAGAGUGGGUGGCUCCUCAAGUGAAGGUUUCAUCCGAGCUGAAGCUUUUUCUUCCGUGUGUAGUGGCUCGAACGGAACCUUGAAUCUACUAACUCGAGGCAAAGAAACCAGCAUAUGUAAGUAAUCCACGAACUCUGGACCAUCUAAGUCUUCAUCCCCCAGUAGUGUAUUUUCCAAUGGAUCUUUGACCAAAUUUUUAACCAAGUCUUCAUUGACUAUUUUGUCGAUCACCCCCAACCGGAAACACUCCUACUCAACUGUGGAAAAACCUUCUGGCCUUAAACACAUUGAAUUUGAUUUCCUGGUCUUGAACCUUCAUGGUUAAUUCUCCUUUUUGAACAUCGAUGAGAGUCCUACCCGUAGCCAAAAAUGGUCUCCCUAGGAUGAUUGAGAUGUUUUUGUCCUCUUCAUAAUCCAGAAUUAUAAAAUCUGCUGGAAAGAUAAAUUUAUCCACCUUAACCAAAAUGUCUUCCCCAAUUCCUCUUGGAUAUUUCACCGAUCUAUCCGCUAACUGUAGAGAAAUGUUUGUAGGCUUCGGAGCUGGCAAACCCAAUUGAGCAUAAACAGAUAACGGCAUAAGGUUCACACUUGCCCCCAAAUCACACAAACACUUGUUGAAGGCCAUAUUACCGAUCGUGCAAGGAAUAGUGAAACUCCCCGGAUCCUUUAACUUCGGAGUUAACUUUCUUUGUUGAACUGCACUGCAUUCCUCCGUGACUCCGUCAACGCUACAGUUUCGUAAUCUUCUAACUUCUUUUUCCUUGACAGAAUCCCUUUCAUGAAUUUAGCAUAACUCGACAUUUGCUCUAGGGCUUCUGCGAUGGGAAUGUUGAUAUGAAGUUUAUUGAAAACUUCGAAAAACUUUGAGAAUUGCUUGUCUAAUUUUUGUUUUUGGACCCUCUGCUGAAACGGUGGUGGAGGGUACACAACUGGCUCAACAUCAGACUUGCUCGUGUCCCCUUGCUUUUCCUCACCCUGUUUCUCUUCAACCACUUUGUCUUCACCUUCUUUGUCAUCUUUCAUCACUGACUUUUCUGCAUUCUUCUCCUCAAGAUGCUUUGCACUCCUCAAAGUGAUUGCUUGACACUGCUCGUGAUUUUCCUUCGGAUUCUUUUCUGUGUCACUAGGUAGAGUCCCUUGAGGCCUAUUAUUAAGUGCUAAGGCAAGCUGUCCCAUCAGAUGUUCUAAGUUUUUGAUGGUCACUGCUUGUGAUUUCAUUGCCGCCUUAUUUCCCGAUAUAUACUUCAAUAAAAGCUCUUCUAAAUUUGUCUUUUUCUCUUGCUGUGGAGUUGCUUGUUGAUGCUGAUUUUGAAACCCCGGGGGAUAAGGUCAUGGAGCAUGCUGAUUUUGAUUGUUACUCCAUGAGAAGUUGGUAUUGUUCCUAUUCCCCGGAUUGUAGGCAUUUUGAUACAUAGUUUGCGGAAUCCUAUUGUAGCUCUGCCCACAAACUGUACCGCUGCUGGGUUAAUGGCACAUUGUUCUGUAGGAUGUUCCCUCGUACACAAUUCGCAAACAUACGCAACCUGCUGUGUUUGUGUAUGUGUAAGAGCAUCCAUUUUAUUCGACAACGCUGAAAUUUGUGCUGCUAAUGCCGUUACCCCAUCUACCUCUAACACCCCAGUUACCUUAGGCUGUGUCAUUCUCGUUGUGGACCACUGGUAGUUGUUAGCCGCCAUUGUUUCUAUUAACUCAUACGCCUCAUAACUCUUAGUCAUGAAUGCUUCACCUGAAACUACAUCUAUGCUAGUCCUGAGAUUACCACUCAAUUCAUUGUAGAACGUGUUCAUCUGCAGCCAUUUAGGUAAUCCAUGAUGUGGGCAUUUUUUGAAUAGUUCCUUGUACCUUUCCCAUGCCUCAUACAAUGAUUCCCCAUGCAGCUGCUCAAACAUCGUAAUCUCGUUUCUCAUCUUAGCAGUAUUGGCUGGUGGAAAAAACUUAGCCAGGAACUUCUGAGCAAGGUCGUCCCAUGUAGUAAUCGACCCUGGCGGUAGAGAGUGUAACUAACUUUUCGCCUUGUCCCAUAGUGUGAACGGGAACAAGUGAAGUCUGACUGCAUCAUUUGACACCCCAUUGUAUCUGAAGGUAUCACAUAUUUUCAGAAAGCUAACCAAGUGCUCAUUUGGAUCGUCGUUGUCUAAUCUCCCAAACUGCACCGAGUUAUGUAUCAUUUGUAUGGUCCCAGGCUUGAUCUCAAAAUUGUUCCCAGCUAUCGCCGGCCUGGUGAUACUCGACUGAACCUCAGUCACCCUAGGAGUAGCAUAAUCCCUUAGCGCUUUCUGAUCUUAUGCAGUCAUUAUUUCUUCCUUGUCAAGAUUCUCCUUAGUGUCCUUAAUCUACUUGCUCAACCUUUGAAACCGUUUCUCGAUAUCGUCCUCGAAAGGAAGCAAGUCUGGCUUCUAAGACCGAGUUCGCAUAAACUAACUCAGAGGACCUAAAACAAGAAAGAACAAAACACAAAGAAAAAUUUGUCUAAGUAAAACUGAACUAAUUAAACUGAUAUUGAAAAAUAUUAAAAUAAAUUCAACUCCCCGACAACGGCGCUAAAAACUUGUUGGUCGAAUUCUAAAUAUGCUCAGCACGCAAGUGCACGUGGUCAACAAGUAAUAUAGUGAUAAGAAAAGAAUCUUUCCCACAGAGAAUAGUAAGAAAUUAAACAACAAUUCUGGUGAUGCAGAAUGUCCAAAAUGCUUGAGAUUUCUUCUAAUGCCAACUCUUUGACGUCUUCACCUCAUUAACUUGUAACAAGAGCAAAAAUCCAUCAAAAGUAACAUGAAAUACUCAAAAACUAGCAACAUACCAACCUAAAUAAGAUUAAAUCGUAGGUUAAAAACCUACUCAUCAUUAAUGCCUAAAAACUGUUUGGUGAGAAUACAUUGAAACUGAACUACUGCUACAACAUGAAUUAGUUUGGAAUAGCAUGUUAUUUAUAGACAAACCGCCUAAUCUUCAUAGACCCUAACCAGCAGAGUAUAAAACAAAAUGGACAUAUUCCACUCUUUCAUUCAAUUGUUGCCAGCUUCUCUUCGUCUACCUCAAAAGCCUUCCUGGCUUGUUUCAGCUCCUCAUUCAGAGCAACAAUGUAUUUACUUUGUUGGCCAGCAUGACAUCUAAAUAUGAGACUUUUAACAAAAUAGGCUCGGACUUUUAACAGCUCUGUUAAUCAAGAUUUUUCUGAAGCAGACUCGAGUAAUGCAAACAAUUACUUUAGCUCUGUCAAUCAAGAAUUUGAGCUAGUCUACAAAUACUUUACUAGAUUCCUUCUCAAGUACAAAGCAAACCAAAGGAAUGCAAACAAUUAAUUAUAGAACUCUGUUGUGCAAUAAUUACUCUACCUUAUUAUAAAAACAAAGAAAGCUCACCAGGCCACCACCAAAAUAAACAAACCACCAGCAAAAUACAAGCCCUAAACACCCAUAUGCGAUAUAUAGACAAAUUGACAUAAAUAGAGAGAAAUUCAUCGACUAAAUCUUAAAAUAAACUCAAAAUUACCUAAGAAAAAUUUUAGUUAUGGAGUUGGAGACGGGCAACAGCGAGUCGACGACUGACGACUGACGACUGACGACUGACGACUGACGACUGACGACUGACGACUGAAGAGUGAAUCAGAAACGAGUCGGAGGUUGGCCGGUGGGAGAGGAUGGAUUGGAGAAUUUGAGAUGGAGAAAAAGGUUCGAGAUGGAGACAAAGGUUCGAGGAUAUGGUCCGAGGACUGAGGAUAUGGUCUGAGGUUCGAGAUGGAGAGAAAGGUUUCGGAAUAAACUCAAUAAAGUGACGAUUGAAGCUGUGAAAG